AACGUAGGGGGCCAGCGUUGCUCGGAAUUACUGGGCGUAAAGGGUCCGUAGGCGGUGCGGCAAGUCGGAAGUGAAAUCUCUGGGCUUAACCCAGAGGCUGCUCCCGAAACUGCCGUGCUCGAGUGCGGGAGAGGCGAGUGGAAUUGCAGGUGUAGCGGUGAAAUGCGUAGAUAUCCGCAGGAACACCCGUGGCGAAGGCGGCUCGCUGGACCGCAACUGACGCUGAGGAACGAAAGCGUGGGGAUCAAACAGG
rnacentral:rRNA from 1 species